CAAUAGCAUAUAUUAACGUUGUUGCAGUUGAAAAGCUCGUAGUUGAACUUUUGGUAGGAGCGACCUGGCCUUGGGCGCAUGCCCUUGUUUGCCGUGUGUCGUGUCUGGCCAUCCUUUUCCGUUUCGGCGGGAAUCUUUUACUGUGAGUAAACUGGAGUGCUCAAAACAAGACGUUUGUUUGGUACAUUAAAGCAUGGAAUAAUAAGAUAGGACCUGGUUACUAUUUUGUUGGUUUGCAUAGCUAGGUAAUGAUUAACAGGGACAGUUGGGGGUAUUCGUAUUUAAUUGUCAGAGGUGAAAUUCUUGGAUUUAUGAAAGACGAACGACUGCGAAAGCAUCUACCAAGGAUGUUUUCAUUG
rnacentral:rRNA from 1 species